rnacentral:misc_RNA from 1 species
AACGCAUAUUGCGCCCCUUGGUAUUCCAUAGGGCAUGCCUGUUCGAGCGUCAUCUACACCUUCAAGCGCUGCUUGGUGUUGGGCGUCUGUCCUCGUGGACUCGCCUGAAAGGCAUUGGCAGCGGUUCUGAUGGGCCUUCCAAUCGCGCAGCACUGUUCGCGCCCCGGAGCCCACGCAGAUUCGGCACCCAUCAAGCCCAAUCUUCUGAACUUGACCUCGGAUCAGGCAGGGAUACCCGCUGAACUUAA